AUACGUAGGGGGCGAGCGUUGUCCGGAAUGACUGGGCGUAAAGGGCGUGUAGGCGGUUGAAUAAGUCUGGAGUGAAAGUCCCGGUUUCAAGUUGGGAACUGCUUUGGAUACUGUUCAACUUGAGUGCGGAAGAGGUAAGUGGAAUUCCCAGUGUAGCGGUGAAAUGCGUAGAGAUUGGGAGGAACACCAGUGGCGAAGGCGACUUACUGGGCCGUAACUGACGCUGAGGCGCGAAAGCGUGGGGAGCGAACAGGAUUAGAUACCCUGGUAGUCCACGCGGUAAACGAUGAAUGCUAGGUGUUGCGGGUAUCGACCCCUGCAGUGCCGGAGUAAACACAAUAAGCAUUCCGCCUGGGGAGUACGGCCGCAAGGUUGAAACUCAAAGGAAUUGACGGGG
rnacentral:rRNA from 1 species